rnacentral:rRNA from 1 species
AUGAUGAACCUGCCAGCCGCAGCUGGGAACUCCUGCGACGAGUUCGGCUAUGGGGCUCCCAACCCGCCGCCGCCGUCGCUCUUCCCGAUCAUGGACCACCAGGAGGGGGGCGGCGGCAUCCACAGGGAGCACGACCACCACCACCACCACCUCGGUGGUUACACCCUCGAGCCCAGCUCGCUGGCGCUCCUCCCCCCGUCCAGCCACGCCACCAUCGCUGCCCACAGCCCCCACGACAUCCUCCAGUUCUACCACCACCCCACCUCGCACCACUACCUCGCCGCCGCCGCCGCAGGUGGCAACGGCAGCCCCUACGGCCAAUUCGGCGGGGGAGGCACUGCCGGCGGCUUCCAGUCGUACUACCACCAGCAGGUGGGAACGGGCGCGCCCGAGUACUACUUCCCCACCUUAGUCAGCUCCGCGGAGGAGAACAUGGCGAGCUUCGCGGCCACGCAGCUCGGGCUCAACCUCGGCUACCGGACCUACUUCCCACCCAGAGGCGGCUACACCUACGGCCACCACCCGCCCCGGUGCCAGGCCGAGGGCUGCAAGGCAGACCUCUCCGGCGCCAAGCGCUACCACCGCCGCCACAAGGUCUGCGAGCACCACUCCAAGGCUCCCGUCGUCGUCACCGCCGGCGGCCUCCACCAGAGGUUCUGCCAGCAGUGCAGCAGGUUUCAUCUGCUUGAUGAGUUCGACGACGCGAAGAAGAGCUGCAGGAAGCGCCUCGCCGACCACAACCGCCGUCGAAGGAAAUCAAAGCCAUCCGAGGCCGAUGCCGCUGACAAGAGAAGGACACAGGCCAGCAAAGCAGCAAGUACCAAAGGCAAAGCAGCCGGAAGCAGCAGCAAGAGCACCGGCACCGGAGACGGGAUGGACAUACAAGUACAGCUGGGUAGUGGAGACCUGUCCAAAAAUCAGGACGAAACCAUGGGACUCGGCGAGGUGGUGAAAGAAAUGCAGGUGGAUCCCAAGGGGAAAGCAUCAAUGCAGCAGCAACAAGGACACCAUGGCCAUGGUCUUCACCUGCAGAGCCAACAUGGCUUCCCUUUCCCUUCGUCCUCUGCAGGCUCGUGCUUCCCUCAGAGCCAAGCUGUCUCGAGCACUCACAACACAUCAAAUAUCGGCCAAGUGCAGCAAGAACAGCCAGGCUUGGGGUUCCAUCAGCAUAGCAACAUCCUUCAGCUCGGACAGGCCAUGUUUGAUCUCGACUUCGAUCACUAG